UUCUAUUUUAUCAUAUGGUUAGAGCAUGGUUCUGAUAAUGCCAAGGUCGCAGGUUUGAUCCCUGUACAGAACAG